GGAGAGGUGGGUGAGCGGUUUAAACCAACAGUUUACUAAACUGUCGUCCCUUUAAAAGGACCGAGGGUUCGAAUCCCUCCCUCUCCG
rnacentral:tRNA from 1 species